UCCUACGGGGGGGCUGCAGUAGGGAAUCUUCCGCAAUGGACGCAAGUCUGACGGAGCAACGCCGCGUGAGUGACGAAGGUUUUCGGAUCGUAAAACUCUGUUGUGAGGGAAGAACACGUACCAAGUAACUACUGGUACCUUGACGGUACCUCACCAGAAAGCCACGGCUAACUACGUGCCAGCAGCCGCGGUAAUACGUAGGUGGCAAGCGUUGUCCGGAAUUAUUGGGCGUAAAGCGCGCGCAGGCGGUCCCUUAAGUCUGAUGUGAAAGCCCACGGCUCAACCGUGGAGGGUCAUUGGAAACUGGGGGACUUGAAGGAAAAAGAGGAAAGUGGAAUCCACGUGGAGCUUCUCCCUUUUCUUACACCAUGCUGGCG
rnacentral:rRNA from 1 species